AUUGAACGCUGGCGGCACGCCUAACACAUGCAAGUCGAGCGGCAGCGAGAUUAGUAGCAAUACUAAUUGUCGGCGAGCGGCGGACGGGUGAGUAAUACGUAAGAAUCUGCCCUCAAGCGGGGGAUAACUAAUGGAAACGUUAGCUAAUACCGCAUAAUCUCGAGAGAGAAAAGGUGCCCGUAAGGGUGUCACUUGAGGAGGAGCUUGCGUCUGAUUAGCUAGUUGGUGGGGUAAGAGCCUACCAAGGCGAUGAUCAGUAACUGGUCUGAGAGGACGACCAGUCACACUGGGACGGAGACACGGCCCAGACUCCUACGGGAGGCAGCAGUGGGGAAUAUUGGACAAUGGGGGAAACCCUGAUCCAGCGAUGCCGCGUGAGUGAAGAAGGCCUUCGGGUCGUAAAGCUCUUUAGGUUGGGAAGAAGAAUGUAGGUUGAAUACACCUAUGUUUUGACGGUACCGACAGAAUAAGCACCGGCAAACUCUGUGCCAGCCGCCGCCGUAA
rnacentral:rRNA from 1 species